GUACACUCCUACGGGAGGCAGCAGUGGGGAAUUUUGGACAAUGGGCGAAAGCCUGAUCCAGCAAUGCCGCGUGUGUGAAGAAGGCCUUCGGGUUGUAAAGCACUUUUGUCCGGAAAGAAAUCCUUGGCUCUAAUACAGUCGGGGGAUGACGGUACCGGAAGAAUAAGCACCGGCUAACUACGUGCCAGCAGCCGCGGUAAUACGUAGGGUGCGAGCGUUAAUCGGAAUUACUGGGCGUAAAGCGUGCGCAGGCGGUUUGCUAAGACCGAUGUGAAAUCCCCGGGCUCAACCUGGGAACUGCAUUGGUGACUGGCAGGCUAGAGUAUGGCAGAGGGGGGUAGAAUUCCACGUGUAGCAGUGAAAUGCGUAGAGAUGUGGAGGAAUACCGAUGGCGAAGGCAGCCCCCUGGGCCAAUACUGACGCUCAUGCACGAAAGCGUGGGGAGCAAACAGGAUUAGAAACCCCUGUAGUCCCAUGA
rnacentral:rRNA from 1 species